GUCUACAGCCAUGUGACCCUGAACGCGCCCAAUCUCAUCUUAUCUCUGAAGCUAAGCAGGGUUGGGCCUGGUUAGUACUUGGAUGGGAGACCGCUUAAGAAUACCAGGCGCCGUAGGCG
rnacentral:rRNA from 1 species